ensembl:ncRNA lncRNA:CR44952 long non-coding RNA:CR44952
CGGCAACCUGUAACUCAAUCAAUGGUCAAUGCGGUUAAAUUGUGGCGCACAAAGGGACUUUAAGGGAUGGGAGUGGAAUUGCAACCGUUCUAACCGCUGCAACCUCUGAUAUCACCUCAUUAUUGCUGCUAAAUCCAUGCGCAGACACACCGACUUCCGUUCUGGCCGAAAUGAAAUUUAUAAUGACAGCUACAGCAAACAACAAACAGACAAACAAACAAACAAAUCAUGGCCCCCAUAUCCAGUUUCCCCCCCGAACAAUUAUGGCUGAAAAGUUGAACGAUACAACUAAAAUGUAAUCAGCCAGGACCUCCACAACGUUCAUACAUGUAUGUGGAGAAGUAGCGAGCCAUGUUCUUCUCACCAUCAUGUGUCCGUGUGUUUGUUUUAAUUAAAAUUACAGAGCCAUGUUUGUGUCUUUGUUCCCGCCUUUGUUGGCCACUCUCUCUCUCUCUCUUAAUGCUUUUUUAGUAAAUAAUUUAUAUUCAAUUUUCAAAUAAAUUGCCAACAAAAAUAGUUAGCAAACAAACGGAGGCCACCAUGGGAUGCAUUAGACUGUAGUUUGUAAUGCAG